CAAAUGCUCUCUAGCAAACUUCAGACGGGCCUGGACAUGUACUGGCUUAAGCAGGGGGACACGUCUGGCACUGCAGGAUUUAAGUCCCUGGCGGCGUAGUGUGUUACUGAUGGUAGGCUUUGUUACUUUGGUCCCAGCUCUCUGCAGGUCAUUCACUAGGUCCCCCCGUGUGGUUCUGGGAUUUCUGCUCACCGUUCUUGUGAUCAUUUUGACCCCACGGGGUGAGAUCUUGCGUGGAGCCCCAGAUCGAGGGAGAUUAUCAGUGGUCUUGUAUGUCUUCCAUUUCCUAAUAAUUGCUCCCAGUUGAUUUCUUCAAACCAAGCUGCUUCCCUAUUGCAGAUUCAGUCUUCCCAGCCUGGUGCAGGUCUACAAUUUUGUUUCUGGUGUCCUUUGACAGCUCUUUGGUCUUGGCCAUAGUGGAGUUUGGAGUGUGACUGUUUGAGGUUGUGGACAGGUGUCUUUUAUACUGAUAACAAGUUCAAACAGGUGCCAUUAAUACAGGUAACGAGUGGAGGACAGAGGAGCCUCUUAAAGAAGAAGUUACAGGUCUGUGAGAGCCAGAAAUCUUGCUUGUUUGUAGGUGACCAAAUACUUAUUUUCCACCAUAAUUUGCAAAUUAAUUCAUUAAAAAUUAUUUUUAUUGACCCAUAUUUAACAGCGCCUUCAGAAAGUACUCAUACCCCUUGACAUAUUCCACAUUUUGUUGUGUUACAGCCUUCAGAAAAUACUCAUACCCCUUGACAUAUUCCACAUUUUGUUGUGUUACAGCCUUCAGAAAAUACUCAUACC